rnacentral:rRNA from 1 species
AUACGGAGGAUCCGAGCGUUAUCCGGAUUUAUUGGGUUUAAAGGGUGCGCAGGCGGCCAUUUAAGGCAGCGGUUAAAUCGUGGGGCUCAACCCCCUUCUGCCGUUGAUACUGGGUGGCUUGAUUGCGGUCGAGGUUGGCGGAAUUCGUUGUGUAGCGGUGAAAUGCAUAGAUAUGACGAAGAACACCGAUUGCGUAGGCCGACAGCCCGAACCCCAAUUACGGCCAAUGACGAAAAGACGGGGAUUGAACAUGAUUAAAUACCCUGGUUGUUCGCAGAGGAAACAGUGAAUUCUUGUUUUCGGCGGUAUAAUGUCGGAGGGAAGCGAAAGCGAUAAGUAUUCCACCUGGGGAGUACGCCGGCAACGGUGAGACUCAAAUGAAUUGACGGGG